rnacentral:lncRNA from 1 species
UACUGUUGUUGAUCUUGUUUUGUUUAUUCCUUUACUUUUUCCAAGGGCCGAUUCUGGGCACAGGAAACAGCGGCCUGAGAUCAGUUUUCAUCUUGGAAGCUACAGCAUUUCUGAGUUGGCAGGAGAUUCUGAUUCCAGUGAAUACCCCAGCAAAUUUGGCAAUGAGAGUAAAACUUCUGGAAGUUCCUGAAUCACGUAAGAGGUUCUGUGGACACAUAAUAGUCAGGUAAGAGACUUUAACUUAUAAAGUCUCCCUUCUGGCUCUCCGCUCUUUUGGAAUACUUGU